rnacentral:tRNA from 1 species
GAGAAGAGUCAAGAGACAUAAAAACUGCUAACUAUUUACUACUGCGGUUAAAAUCCGUAGUCUCCUCA